rnacentral:rRNA from 1 species
GCGAAGCGAUAAGUGGAGCGGUGAAAGGCUCAGUAACGGGCAAUUUAUUUGAUCUCCUGGGACGGACAACAUGGGGAAACUGAUGGGAAAACGUCUAAGUUGCAGUUUAUUGAUUGUGACGUAAACCUUUGUGUGCAGGAGAGUAAGAUGCCAUCCUAUCAGUUAGUAAGUAGGGUAAGGGCCUACUUAGACGAAGACGGGUACGGGGAAUGAGGGUUUGAUUCCGGAGAAGGAGCCUGAGAGAUGGCUACCAGGACCAAGGUCAGCAGCAGGCGCGAAAAUUAUCGAAGCCCGCCUAGGGGCGAUAGUGAGGAGACGUGUAUACGAAGUACGUGUAAAGACCGUACUAAUAACUGGAGGUCAAGUCUGGUGCCAGCAGCCGCG